rnacentral:lncRNA from 1 species
AUGUUCGACUCCACGCUUCCCUCUUCCUGCCCCCAGGAGAGCCUGGCUCCAAGGGCGACUCUGGGAACAGCUGUGCUGACACGGGCCAUUCUCCAGGGGCAGUCAAGCACAGCCCAGUUCCCCUGGAGAAUCCUCUGGAGUGGGAGACAGAACGGACGGAUGGGGGAAGGGAGGAGAAGGAAACUCUUCCUCCUUAGCAGUAUCUCAAAGCCAGAGGUAGAAAUUCCAAAGGCCAGACCCCUGAGAAGCUUCCUGAAGCCCCACCACAACUCCGCCAAGCCCCAGAAACGGCAGCGCCCACAGCGUGUGGGAAGACCUCCUUUUCAACAGCCUCGCCCACAACCAAAACCUACAAACGUUGACAAGAUGACAGCACCACUAAGCUGGAAACCGGCACUUCCCAACCUGUUCAGAAUUGGACAGCAUGUUGCUUAAGAAACCCUCUUCUAAUAUAAAUCUUCAAACUGCUGGCUUGUGCUAAUUUUUGUUAACUGAAUUCAAAUAUUAUCUGAUCGGAGCAAUUCUUCUGUGAUUUUUUUUUUAGACUCUUUCCCAGCCUCCACACGCAGGGCCACUACAGCCUGGGGCAACUGUAAAAAUUCUUACCUUUUCGCAGUCUUUUCUCCAUAAAGCAGUAAACAAUACAGCAAUCAAGUGAAUCAUCUGGCCUCCCUCCCCCCCAGACACAGACACACACACACACACUCCUUGUUAAACUCUUCCACAGCCUCUCGGGGCGCUGCGGGCAUAGCCCAGCCUCGGCCCCCACUGCUAUUGAUCGCCAAUCACCUUGUACACCCUCUCUGCUCUUCAGCCUUGUCUUCUGUUCUUUCCACACAGAAGUCUGGCCUGACCAUGCCAUCGAAAGCAGCUUUCUCUUGUCCAGUCCUCUCUAAUCCAGACCCAAGCUUAUGUCCUCACAACACAGAUUCCAGCCUGUAGGUGUUUUCCUUUUAUCUGUCUACUGGUUUUUGUCUACCUCCGCUACUAGAAUGUAGGCUCCAGGAGGAUAGUGACAUGACUCUUGUUUACCAUCACCAGCAACUUGCACAUUGCUGGCACAGAGUGAGUGCUCGAUAAAUAUGUGUGGGAGGAAGGAAAGAAUGCAGGAAGACAAGAUACUGACUUGACGUGAAUGCUCGACUGCCCAGCCCAGAAAUGUUCUGUAUUAUUUAGAGUAAAAACCUCACCUCUCAUAUUAAACAGACCCCAAAAUACAGAGGCUCACAGAUUGCUUUCUCUUUGCAUAACACUCUGGAAUUGGACAGUUCAGGCUGGAAGGAUGCUCCGUGUCACACAGUGACAAAGAGAUCCCAAUUCUUGUCCUAUUGCUGCCCCUCUAUCCUGCAGGGCACUGCACAUCUGCUUGGUUUAAUGGGGUUGCCAGCACCUCUAAGUUCCGGGUUCCAGACCACAAGAGGAGAGAAAGAGAGGAAGUCUAGGAAAAGCCAUUUCCAGUUAAGACGAGAAACAGAAAUUGCGCGUAUCACUCCUGCCCCUAUUUCACAGGUAAUAAUUAGUUUUAUGUCCUGAAAGGGAGGUUGGGAAGUAGAGUCUCUAGCUAAAUGACUUCAUAUCCAGGGAGAAAGCAAAGAUGGAAAACUAGCCAUCUGACACAUGUUCCUUGACCCCUCUCUGAGUAGAACACUUUCCGGGACCCAUCUGGGGGUAGCAGAACCUGUGUGCAGGCUCUGUCUUUGAUUGGAGGGAGAAGACCUCCCACCCAGGAUCCCAUCACCACACUGCAGAGCUCAUGGGAGCUGGAGGGGGCAUCAGGACCUCGGGAGUAGCAGUCACUGCAGUCACCAUGAGCACUGACACUCUAAGAUGCUCAAUCCUUCCCUUCUUUGUUGGCUCUGAAGCUCAGAAAACUCCAGACGCAUUUAAAUUAGCGCAUGCAUGUAAAGAUCUUAGGUUUUUAAGAAAUACCUGGUACUUAGAUAUUCAACUUAUUUUUAUCUCAAUUAGUGGCUUUUCUCUUGCUAAAUCCCAGACUGGCAAGCCAUCUCACCUUAUUCAAAUUCCCCCAGACUAUACUCCUGUUGCCGAAAGUCUUCUCUGAAAGAGUCCAGUAGCCUUUCCCUCUCUCUUCUCUCAAUCCCUGCCCCAUACUUGUUCACAUUUUUAUUUAUUGCCUUGUGCUGUCCACUGAUAGUUUCAUAAGUGCUUGUCCAGUCUCGUUGGCUAGAUUGCAAGCUCCCUGAGAGUAGCAGAUGCCAUGUUGGGUUCCCGUAGCUCAGAACAUCUGAUACAACAGGACUGCAUAAUGUCCACUCCACAGACACGCCACUGCGUUAUUGAAAUGGAAAUAUCGGCAAACUAAAGCUACAUCUACUUGACCCUAGAAAAAUAAAUGAAUUCAGAAGAUUAGUCCCA